AAGUCGUAACAAGGUUUCCGUAGGUGAACCUGCGGAAGGAUCAUUAACACGUAUCCAACGUUAAACAACCCUGUGAACUUUCAACCGCUCUUGUAGCCCACGCGGAACAGCAAUCGGUGAAUCAACUGGAGGAAAGGUUUUGAUUCGGGCCUCUGUCCAUCAGGCUACAAUCGAGCCAGGAGCAGUGGCAUGGUUCCCUAAACAGCGCAGAAGGAUCCACUGAGUAAGGAUAACGCCUCACGGUUGCCAGAGGUCGAUCACCGGCCGGCAGACAUGCACAGGGCUAUAUGCCCCCUCAUUCACACCUUGCCCUACUGGCCCACGGAAAACAACUGCUAACAAUGGAUAUCUUGGUUCUC
rnacentral:misc_RNA from 1 species